UGCUAAACACGUAUAGAGCGGGUGGGACCGCUCUAUACGUCAGUGUGUCAUAAACCAGGAAAUGGAGCGUGGGAGGAGAUUAUUCAAGGAACGUUUCUCCCAUGACUCUAUCCCACAAGAAUUAUGGCGCAGACAAUCACCGCCUCUCAGCAUUAGCUGAAAGAAUCACCGUUGCUUUUUUAGACUCAGAAGAAAGCACAGUUUUCCAUUCAUUUGUGAAACCUAUUUGGAAAUCAUGCAUGUAUACAACUCAUACUGCAGUAUCAAUGCUUAUUGGUUGACAGAAGCAUCUUGCAUAGCUGUAUGUUACACACAUUUUUCAAGCAUGAAGAAAUGAAGAUGUAUUCAGCAGCAUUUAAAUAAAACAAGCAUAUAAAUAAACAUACAAAUAAUGAAAUAUA